rnacentral:rRNA from 1 species
GACGAACGCUGGCGGCGUGCCUAAUACAUGCAAGUCGAACGCAGUGGGGACGGGGGAGUAACACGUGGGUAACCUCCCAUCAGAGGGGAUAAACCUUGGCAACAGGCGCUAAACUGAUACUGAUGGAUGGACCCGGGGGGCAUUAGAUAGUUGGUGAGGUAACGGCUCACCAAGGCCACGAUGCAUAGCUGGUCUGAGAGGAUGAUCGGCCACACUGGAACUGAGACACGGCCCAGACUCCUACGGGAGGCAGCAGUAGGGAAUAUUCGGCAAUGGGCGAAAGUCUGACCGAGCCACGCCGCGUGUGUGAAGAAGGUUUUCGGGUCGUAAAGCACUUUUAUUGUAGAGGCGUUACCUAACCAAAAAGCCACGGCUAACUACGUGCCAGCAGCCGCGGUAAUUC